AUGAAGCCUCUCAACGACCAAGACUCAAAAAGGUGUGGUGGACUGCCCCUCGCUGUUAUUACAAUAGGCGGCAUAUUAGCUAGUCGUCCAGGAAUAUUAAGGCAGGAUUGGGAGAGCAUAAGGAGUUACUUGGGAGUUCAAUCUGCCACAGACCUCACCAUGGAAGGAAUGAGGCGUAUAUUAAACCUUAGCUACAUGCAUCUUCCUGUUCAUCUUCGGGCAUGUUGCUUACGUCUUGGUAUGCAUCCAGAGGACUACGAGAUCAUGAGGGAUGAUCUUGUUCGACAAUGGAUAGCUGAAGGCCUUGUGCGCAGUUUACCUGGGCUAGAUUUGGAGGAUGUUGCAAGGAGUUAUUUCAAUGAGCUUAUCAACAGAAGCUUGAUUCAGCCUGAACGGACAGUCGCUAGGGAUGUGAUUUCUUGCAAAGUGCAUGAUGUGAUUCGUGAUGUUAUUAUAAGCAAAUGUCAAGAAGAAAAUUUCAUGAGUAUGGUAUACAAUUCUGAAGACAUGGCAAGAUUGCAUGAAUGCAAGCCCAAGGUCCGCCGAUUGUUCUUUUGCUCGAGUUCUAAUGAUGCCACAAAUGGUACAAUAUCAAGGGCUACUGGUCUGUCGAAGGUUAGAUCGAUUGUGUCAUUCGGAGGGUCCAAGUACUUGAAUUCUUUAUUGUUUUCCAAAUAUCUCCGGGUGCUGCUCAUUGAAAACUGGGGUAUCACAGUUGAUCUCAGUGAUAUCAACCGCUUGUUUCAUCUGAGAUAUUUGAAGUUGCCCCGUUUAUCCCAUCUGACUGCUCUAUGUCAUAGGCUGCCUGAAGGGAUCGGCAACUUGAAAUUACUGCGAACUCUGAAUGGGUUUCAGUUGACAGGUUGCUCCUCAGAGGAUAUCAAGGGCCUGGGCGAGCUAACCAAUUUGCGGGAGCUCUUUUUCGUCAUAGAAGAUACAACUGAAAUUGAUGAUGCUUUGGUGAUCUCCAUUGUCUCCAUCAUCUGGAGCUCUAUCAUAGUCCGCACAGGAUUAUUUCCAGCUUUGGAGUACUUUCAGACAUACUUUCAAGACGAAGGUCAUGAGCUACACUCUGCACAAGACGAUGUUAUGGCACACCUGUGCUUCGAGGUCGGGUCAAUGCCCAAGCUACAAAGACUCGAGCUACAUUUAUGGGAGAGGCACUGGGGCGGCGCUACCCCAGUCGGCAUAGAGCACGUGUUAGCUCUCCAGCAAAUCAAGUUGGGGUUCGCGUAUUGCGGUGAAGUGGACCGUCGUGCCGAGUCUGCGUUCAGGGACGCCUUGCAGGCGCACCCGAACCGUCACUCCAUUCGAUUCAAUUAG
rnacentral:rRNA from 1 species